rnacentral:rRNA from 1 species
GAUCAACGCUGGCGGCGUGCUUAACACAUGCAAGUCGAACGGUGAAGGCGGAGCUUGCUCUGCUGGAUCAGUGGCGAACGGGUGAGUAACACGUGAGCAAUCUGCCCCUGACUCUGGGAUAAGCGCUGGAAACGGCGUCUAAUACUGGAUACGAGCUGCGAAGGCAUCUUCAGCAGCUGGAAAGAAUUUCGGUCAGGGAUGAGCUCGCGGCCUAUCAGCUUGUUGGUGAGGUAAUGGCUCACCAAGGCGUCGACGGGUAGCCGGCCUGAGAGGGUGACCGGCCACACUGGGACUGAGACACGGCCCAGACUCCUACGGGAGGCAGCAGUGGGGAAUAUUGCACAAUGGGCGAAAGCCUGAUGCAGCAACGCCGCGUGAGGGACGACGGCCUUCGGGUUGUAAACCUCUUUUAGCAGGGAAGAAGCGAAAGUGACGGUACCUGCAGAAAAAGCGCCGGCUAACUACGUG